rnacentral:rRNA from 1 species
UACGUAGGGAGCGAGCGUUGUUCGGAAUUACUGGGCGUAAAGGGCGCGUAGGCGGCGACUCAAGUUAGAUGUGAAAGUCCUGGGCUUAACCUGGGGACUGCAUUUGAUACUGGGUUGCUUGAAUUCGGGAGAGGAUAGCGGAAUUCCCAGUGUAGAGGUGAAAUUCGUAGAUAUUGGGAAGAACACCGGUGGCGAAGGCGGCUAUCUGGACCGACAUUGACGCUGAGGCGCGAAAGCGUGGGGAGCGAACAGG